ACAGCAGCAGCCGCGGGAAUACGUAGGGUGCGAGCGUUAAUCGGAAUUACUGGGCGUAAAGCGUGCGCAGGCGGUUCGUUAAGACAGAUGUGAAAUCCCCGGGCUUAACCUGGGAACUGCAUUUGUGACUGGCGAGCUAGAGUAUGGCAGAGGGGGGUAGAAUUCCACGUGUAGCAGUGAAAUGCGUAGAGAUGUGGAGGAAUACCGAUGGCGAAGGCAGCCCCCUGGGCCAAUACUGACGCUCAUGCACGAAAGCGUGGGGAGCAAACAGGAUUAGAUACCCCGGUAGUCCCUGUCUCUUAUAC
rnacentral:rRNA from 1 species